GUGGAAGCAAUGCAAGACUUGUUUAUGGAUGACCUGAACAAGGGAAGUAACAUGGACCAGAGAGUGGCUUAGGUUGAAAUAAAUGUGCAGCAUUCUACUGAAGUUAAGUGUUAUCCCUUGAUGGCCGUUCAUAAUAAGUAAAGCAUAUGCAAUAUUAAAAUCUGACUAAAGAGAGACACUACAUGACCAGUACACGAGUGGACUCCUGAUCAGAUGGAUCAGUUAGGACUCGGUAUAAGUCAAGGUAGGUUUCCAUUGAUCGAGUCAGAUGGAAUGAAUCAAUU
rnacentral:lncRNA from 1 species